GGCAGCGAGGGAAUGAGCAAAGAUGCUACUGGUCUGGACAACUGGGACAAAAUGACAAUGUUCUCUGAAACUGGGGAUAAGGAGGACAAAUACAUUUGUAGAAAGGUCAAUGCUUACAGCUUUGAACAAGUUGAGUUGGCGUUCCCUGCGAGAGAGAUCCAAGUGUAGACAUUCUGUAGCCUUUGAAGUGAGACCCAUCUGAUAAAAAUGAAAAGUUCUAAACCUCUUCCUGAGAGAAACGUAAUGGCUUUUAAUUUUUGAGGCCUAGAAAUUUUUCCAUAGUUCCCAGGGGGGCGGGGGGUUAAUAGGAUUUUCUUUCAAAAGGAGAGGCUUGAACAAGACUUAUUUGGAGAAGACAAGAAGAUACUGGAUGAAGACUUUUUCUCGGGCAAAGAUGGGGAUGGAGGAUAGGGGAGGAUCAGGGAGGACAGUGGCCCGAAUCAGUUGAAAAAAGAUGGUAUCUUUGAAAUCUGGAAAGAGGGAGGACUACUGUAUUGGGAGAAUCUGUGUCCUGCUCAUGCCGUGCACUCUCGAGGUGGAACAACCUGAGAGCAGAAACACUGUGCAUUCUGGUGGAAGCAAGACAUUUAUGCCACUAUGGCCUAGCGCCACCAUGCUGGGAUGCUCGGUGGAAGGGCCACUGAAAGGGACACGUUGGGACCCUCCUUGAGUAGGGAUGCCUGGGAGAGAACGGAGCAGCCCACUAGCCCGCGACGCUGUUGGGCAGAAGGUGCUCUGGGAAGGUCACACACCAAAGCUCAGGGGAGCAUAGCCAAUCCUGCAGUACCCAGGACCUGACAUCAAGCAGAGGGAGAGAUCCGCUGUUUCUCAGCAUUCCACUUCCCACAAAACACGAAUAUAUGUGAUUUAGAAAAAUAAGGACUUGAAUGUAACUUAGCCUGUAUUUGUUGUGAAUUUACACACACACAUACUACAUAUAAACACAGUGAUUUAUGGAGUUCAUCUAUAUAUAAUUUUGCAACUAUAAUCACACUAUGACCAAAUUUCCAGAAGUGACCACAAACCAACAACUUUGCCUAAUAAAUUAUGAAGUGACCCAAGAUUUUCCAAGGCUGUUUGUUAAAACCAAUGUUUUCCUAAGCGAACCAGAGAAACAUCCAGAAUAACAAAGUACUAAGCAGAUUAAAAUAUAUGCAGUAUAUAACUCUGCGAUUAAAGAUGGUGCAUAACAGGAAUACACCAUGAAAGGGACAUUUUAAUACUGAUACUCAUCAUACGGGUGAUGUUGGUGUCUUCAUAUUAAAAACAAACAUGAUUUAUAAAACUA